UACGAAGGGUGCUAGCGUUGUUCGGAAUCACUGGGCGUAAAGGGCGCGUAGGCGGCUUUUCAAGUCAGAGGUGAAAGCCCGGGGCUCAACCUGGAAACUGCCAUUGAUACUAUUAGUCUUGAAUUUUGUUGAGGUAGGCGGAAUAAGUCAUGUAGCGGUGAAAUGCAUAGAUAUGACUUAGAACACCAAUUGCGAAGGCAGCUUGCUAAACAAAUAUUGACGCUGAGGCACGAAAGCGUGGGGAUCAAACAGG
rnacentral:rRNA from 1 species